rnacentral:rRNA from 1 species
UACGUAGGGGGCAAGCGUUGUCCGGAUUUAUUGGGCGUAAAGAGCGUGUAGGCGGCUUUACAGGUCCGUUGUGAAAACUCGAGGCUCAACCUCGAGACGCCGGUGGAAACCGUAAAGCUAGAGUCCGGAAGAGGAGAGUGGAAUUCCUGGUGUAGCGGUGAAAUGCGCAGAUAUCAGGAGGAACACCCGUGGCGAAGGCGAAUCCCUGGAAAAUACCUGACACUGAGGCACGAAAGCUAGGGGAGCAAACAGG